UAAAGGCAAGAAGGCUUUAGAACGAAAUACAGCAAGCCGGGUUCUACGAAGGAUUGAAAAUCAGCACGCACAAGGAAGCUUGAUGCAGAUAAACUUACAUUAGGAUCAGAAGGUGAUAGCGAUAAUGCCCUG